rnacentral:lncRNA from 1 species
CACUUUUCUCCAACUCCAAGGCCACCGUCCUAAUCCAGGCUCUCAUCAUUUUCCACACAGAUAAUUAUAAUUGCUGCUGAACUAAUUGUAGUGGGUUGAAUGGUGAUCCCCCCAAAAGGUGUGUAUCAUGUCCUGGAAUCUGUGAAUGUGACCUUCUUUGGAAAAGAGCGUUUUUGCAGAUGUAAUUAAGUUAAGGAUCUCAAGAUGAGAUCAACCUGGAUUAUCCGAGUGGGCCCUAAAUCUACUGACAAGUGUCCAGUGCUGUAAGAGACACACAGAGGAGAAGACAGAGAGAAGAGGAUAAUGUCAUGUGAAGAGAGAGGCAGAGAUGGGAGUUACACAGCCACAAGCCAGAGGAGUCCUGCAGCGACUAUAAGCUGGAAGAGGCAAAGAUCUGAUUCCCCUCUAGAGCCUUAAGAGGGGAGUGUAGCCCUGCCAACACCUUGAUUUUGGACUUCUGGCCUCCAGAACUGUGCACAGAGGGAAGACUACACUUCCCAGGCCUCCUUGCGGUGAGGUUGAGGCCAUGUGACUAGUCUUGGGACAAUGGAGCGGGUGCAGAGUGAUACAGGCCACUUCUGAACUUGGCCAUAAAAUGUCCUGUACAGUUUUUACCUCGUCUCUCUCCCUUCACUCAUUGGCUGCCUAGAAGCUGAGAAGUCACUGGAGAACUCAGGGAUGGAGAGACAAGAGAUUAAGGAGCACCAUCCUUUGGUUUGGCCUGUUUUUUGUUAUGUAAAUGGAACCAUACAUAGAUUCCUGAGCUCUCUGAAGGCAAGGUCCCUGUCUGUCUUGUCGGACACAUAUUUAAGAUUUGGCUAGGAGUGGGGCAGCCUUUAAGUAAGAGUCGAAGGUUUGAAGUCAAAAAGGAACGAACGGGAAGAACAAGCCUUCCACCUCAUCCUCACCACCACCUUACUGGGGGGUGUGGAAGGAAAGCAUAAGCUCUAGACCAAGAAACGGCUAAAGGCCCGGGAAGAGCAGAGGAG